CCUUUUUGCCGGGGCAUGCCUCUCAUUAGUUUACACCAGAUCCCUUCCGUCCCGUGCCCAAGUCCCGCAGCACUAUCGCGCCCAAGAGGAUUCAAAAGGGAGCGGCGGCGGCGAGAGGCCCGGCGCCGACCGCAACCCUAGCCCGAAUCAGCACCCGCCGCCCCGGAGGGUGCCGCUGCGGCGGCCGAGGCCGACGACGAGGUGCGGCGCCUGUUCACGGCCCUCAGCCAGGUCCACGCCGACCUCGCCCUGGCGGUCUGCCGCAGGCGGAGCGGCGGUCCAUUGUUGACGAGGCGCGCUGGCGGCCCGUGCGGUCCCGAUCCCAGGUGCUGGUCCACCGGCGUGGAUGAGGAGCCCAGGAGCAGGCAAGUUGGCUAGAUCUCGCAGCCCCGGCCGUCCCGUCCACGUCCUAGGGUUCCGAGAUAUGGAUAUUUAAAGGAAUUGAUCUUGCUGAAAUUAAGAAAGAAUUUCAAAAUAUACCAAGAAGAAUGCCUUUGCCACAGUCAAUAAAGCUUUAUUAUAGGACUCUAUGCUGUUGGUUGGUCUGUGCUAUUCUUCUUUUAUCGUCUAUAGGGUAAAAUAUAAAACAGAAUCUGUCACCUGAAGGCAUUUUGUCGAAGCCUUGCUCAGAGGUUGGGUGAGUUGAUUUAUCUGAUCUGUAUACUGAUGGAUGCCAAUAAAUAAGCUUGAUCUAUGAAUAGUUUAGUCGCCAGUAGAUGAGCUGAUGAACCAAUAGCAUGUAGUAAUGGUAGGUAUGAUUUUGUUCUAAGUUGUGGUUACAUAAUGACAUAUCUAGGAUGGACCUUUAGCUACUGAGGCCUGAAUAUAGAAAGUUGAUAAAAAGAAUCUCAUUUUAUUUGGAUUUUUUUAAACUGCAGCCCAUAAGUAGCACUAUUAAUUGCUCUGUUAUCAUUUGCUAGAAUUUCUUGCUUUUGAAAGGAAUUUAGAAGGAUCUUAAGAAUAGUACAUUCAGUUAUUUCAUAUUUGUCUUGAUGUUCCUUACCAAAGCAGCAACCUUAUAUUGCUAUUUCAUGCCGUGCUCUUCUUAAUUUCUUAUCAAUGAGAAGACAGCUCAAAAGAAUGUCUCUUGUGAGUUAUUACAUGAACCUCUAUGAAACAGCAAGCUUUCAGUAUCCUAGGAUUUUGCUACCAAUCAUUGUUUUUUUGGGUGACAAACCAAUCAUUGAGUCUUACUUAAAUGCUUGCAUGAUAUUAUUCGUUCACCAUAUUGCACUUGGUGAGACCAUUUAUCAUGAAUCUAUAUUUUUCCAUCUUCAGAGCGCGCCUUCAUUUGUUAAAAAAAGUCAGUAUGGGUAAAUAUUAGUUUCACUUUGCAUAGUAGUAUAACCAGGUCUGUUGAACUCUACAUUUUCUGCAUGUUAUCAUGUUUUUGUUUGAAAGCAAGCUAAUUGGACAGCGGUGUUUAUUUGCAUGAAUGCCUUGCCAUUUUGCUGGAAGUUACUUGAUGCAUGAGGUGCUCUUUAUAAUUUGUAUGUGAGAGAGGAUUAGUUUGUCAAGCUUUCUAUUGAUAAAACCAUUUCAUUAGUUUUUUUUGGGGGGGGGGGGGGGUUACAGUCAGUCUAUAUUGGAUGAAAGACAUAGUUCGUGUGAAUCAUGACUUUCCCUGCAUUUACCUAAUUUCGCUCAAAAAAAGUUCCAGUUAGCUAUAAGGAUUCUUUAGAAAAAAUUCUCAGGGACUAUUGAAUCAGGGGCGAAGACUCAAAUGUGUAGUGAUUCUUUAGACAAAAGCCGAAAAGGGUCUGAUUAUUGUGUCUGUUCAGUGUCCACCAUCCACAAAUGGCUCUAUUUAAAUUGGAGUAUGUAGUUCAUUUUAGCCGAUGAACUUGCUGGAUCACCUCCAUUGCAGGAGUUUAGCUGAUAUGUAUUGUAUGCAGAUGAUUAUGAGCAAGAUGCAAGGACACAAAAAGCCUGGGAUGCAGAAAGGUUAGAGGCGAGCUGCCGCUAGCGCACGGUGGCGUGCUGCAUCUCCCGUCGGUGCUUGCCACAGGAGAACUACAUCCCUGGCCUAUUCUUCUAUGCCUCAGCUGCUGCCUCUCCAAGCAAUGCCAAACCUAUAGGCUAUAACAGGUUCAGGAGGUGUUUAUCCAAUGAUUCAGUAACUUAACAUUCUAAUUUACUUGUCUUUUGCUCAUGAGGCAUGGUGUCUUUAGGUUAUUGAAGGGGAUUGUGUAUGGAUGCCGACAUUCAGACUGGUCAGCUAAGAGACCAGGACACACAAAUCUGGAGAGGUCCUUGGUCAUCAGCUGGUCCAUCAUGGGGUAUGUAACUUCACUGAGAUCAUGCAUGCUCCUUAUAAGCUGGGGAUAUAAGUUCUUAGGAUUAACUGUAUCAUCUAGCCGCGAGACGCCGCUUUUACUAUUAGAAUAACUUAAAAUCUUCUCUUCAAAUAAUGCAAUGCAAGGAUGAUUUUGACAUAUAGAUGUUGAUGUCCCAAGCUGAAUUUCAAGAUACUCAUGGCAGCAAUUUCCCACAAAAGUGGUGUGGGUUAAUUCGCUAUACUGUUAGAAUUACGCGAGGUAGGCGUGUAUCAUUGGGGUGGUACUGAGUCAACUAAGAGUCAGAAGCGCUAAUAUGUGUGCAUUACCUACUGUUGUAUAUUUUUCAAUCAUGCACUAUGUUCUCUUAAUGAUUAAUUGUGGAUGAAAUGGAUGAGGGCAAUAAUGCUCAUGUGCUUAUCCUGAAUGGAUGAACAGAACUCUAGAAACUUGAAUGGAAAGAACCUUUAAAGCAGGGGAUUACUGAGAAA